rnacentral:rRNA from 1 species
ACUGAGUGGCGGACGGGUGAGUAACGCGUGGGUAACCUGCCUCAUACAGGGGGAUAACAGUUAGAAAUGACUGCUAAUACCGCAUAAGACCACGGUACCGCAUGGUACAGUGGUAAAAACUCCGGUGGUAUGAGAUGGACCCGCGUCUGAUUAGGUAGUUGGUGGGGUAACGGCCUACCAAGCCGACGGUCAGUAGCCGACCUGAGAGGGUGACCGGCCACAUUGGGACUGAGACACGGCCCAG